CUUUUUUUUUUUUUGCUUUUUUUAACUGAACAAAAGACAACAAUGUGGGAGGCGGAAAUCUGGCCUCCUGCAUCUCGGCUGCUGCAGGAGGAAAGAUGGAUCACGUAUAUAAAGAUUUCCUCAGGACUGCAGCGAGGACUUCAAGUGAAGAACAAAAGACAUGAGAAAUAUCAUGAGAUCAGUGUCAUCAUCCCACGUCUAAACAGUCAGCAGUGACUCUCCAGCUGCUCGGCCCAAUGUGCCCACGCUGCACAAAGCCCAGCACGGAGGAGGACGCUGCUGUUGUUGCCUUUGACUGAGUCAGCAUGAACACACUGAUGCCGUCCCCUUUGUGAGUGGAUGAGGGGAAUCCUUCGCUCUCUGCAGCCCUCUUUAUGUAACCGCACCUGCAGGAAGCAGCUGACCUGCACUGUCACCCACCUGUAUGAACAAAGACAUGUGUGGCUCCUCCAUCGACUGAAUGGCCGACUCCACCAGCAUGACGGCGGCCUCCAGGUCGUCACUGUGGCGG